rnacentral:pre_miRNA from 1 species
GUGUGUAUGUGGCGAACUGUGGUGAAGAGAUGACCCUUCAGUUUGUCAUAUACACCGGG